CCUACGGGAGGCAGCAGUGAGGAAUAUUGGUCAAUGGGCGCAAGCCUGAACCAGCCAUGCCGCGUGCAGGAAGAAUGCCCUAUGGGUUGUAAACUGCUUUUAUUUGGGAAUAAACCUCUUUACGUGUAGAGAGCUGAAGGUACCAAAUGAAUAAGCACCGGCUAACUCCGUGCCAGCAGCCGCGGUAAUACGGAGGGUGCAAGCGUUAUCCGGAAUCAUUGGGUUUAAAGGGUCCGCAGGUGGAUUUAUAAGUCAGUGGUGAAAUCCUAUCGCUUAACGAUAGAACUGCCAUUGAUACUGUAAGUCUUGAAUUCGGUCGGAGUGGGCGGAAUGUGUAGUGUAGCGGUGAAAUGCAUAGAUAUUACACAGAACACCGAUAGCGAAGGCAGCUCACUAGGCCUGAAUUGACGCUCAGGGACGAAAGCGUGGGGAUCAAACAGGAUUAGAUACCCUGGUAGUCCACGCUGUAAACGAUGAUUACUCGUUUUCGGCGAUAUACAGUCGGAGACUAAGCGAAAGUGAUAAGUAAUCCACCUGGGGAGUACGGUCGCAAGGUUGAAACUCAAAGGAAUUGACGG
rnacentral:rRNA from 1 species